CACGUAGGGCGCGAGCGUUGUCCGGAAUUAUUGGGCGUAAAGAGCUCGUAGGCGGCCUGUUGCGUCCGCUGUGAAAGCCCGGGGCUUAACCCCGGGUCGGCAGUGGAUACGGGCAGGCUAGAGGUAGGUAGGGGAGAAUGGAAUUCCCGGUGUAGCGGUGAAAUGCGCAGAUAUCGGGAGGAACACCGGUGGCGAAGGCGGUUCUCUGGGCCUUACCUGACGCUGAGGAGCGAAGGCGUGGGGAGCGAACGGG
rnacentral:rRNA from 1 species